GGUGCCAUAGCUCAGUUGGUUGCGUCAAAAGCGACAGCUUUUGAUGCUUGGGAGAGCAAAGGACUGAAAAUCCUUGUGUCCCCGGUUCGAUUCCUGGUGGUACCA
rnacentral:tRNA from 1 species